UACGUAGGGGGCAAGCGUUGUCCGGAAUCAUUGGGCGUAAAGAGCGUGUAGGCGGCCCGAUAAGUCCGCUGUGAAAGUCCAGGGCUCAACCCUGGAAUGCCGGUGGAUACUGUCGGGCUCGAGUCCGGAAGAGGUGAGUGGAAUUCCUGGUGUAGCGGUGGAAUGCGCAGAUAUCAGGAAGAACACCAACGGCGAAGGCAGCUCGCUGGGACGGUACUGACGCUGAGACGCGAAAGCGUGGGGAGCGAACAGG
rnacentral:rRNA from 1 species